rnacentral:lncRNA from 1 species
UUUUUCUAAACUUAUCUUUUAUAAAUUAGCUAUUUUAAGAAAAGUGCUUUUUCUCUAUUUUCAGAUUUGGUAAUUAAUGUGUUGUGAAUUGUGGUAAGUCGGGCAUAACUGUAAUUGGGGGCUCAAUUUGAUUAUGAAACUUUUGUAGUUAUAUAUUCAUGGAGGCAUAUUUUUGGUCUCUAUGGGUAUUGAAUUAAUUUGUAGUUAUAUUUCUAUGUUGUAUGAUAUGUUGCACUGAAUUUACAAACAAUAAAGUAAAAAAAAUAUUGACUAUUUAAAGUAAUUCACUUGCAAUAAUUCUACUAAUAAAUUAUAAUAAUAAUGAAUAUAUGAAUUAAUAUAUCACUAAAAUAAAAUUAAAAGUAUCUAAUCUUUUCUUUUUCUCACUUUUUAUUUUUAAUUAUUUUAAAAAUUUAUAUUAAACUACUUGAAUUCCCUUAUAAAUAUAUACAUAUAGUAAUUCAUCAAUUUCUUAUAGGAUUAGGAAUGAAUAUGAAAUUAUGAUAGGAUUAGGAUUGAAUUAGAUUAAUCACUAAUAAGUUCUAAUAUGAUUAAAAAUAUAUUAAAUUAAAUUAAUUAUAUAUAGAAUUAGGAUAAAAUUAGUAAUUAUUAAUUAUUUCUAAAAAUAUUUUAGUCAAUUUAAAAUGUUUUCUUCUUUUUCCUGUUUAUAUAUAAAUAGAUUGUAUAUAUGAUUUCUUUUAAACGUUUUUAUAAAAUAAUUCCUUUUACCUAUAAAUCUGAUUAGAAACUGAAAUAUUUUCUAUAGAAUUUGGAAAUGGACAAUGGUAGUUUAGACUUUAAUUAUGGGAUAAUUAUUAUUUGCACUCUCUCUUUUUCUAUAUUAUACUAGUUAUUAUUUAAUAUUUAAAAAUUAUAUAUUUUUAUCUUUUUAUCGUGUAGUUUUAUAUUACAAGGUCAUUUCGACGAGAAUUGCCGUUAAACAAUAGUUAGCUAAGUUUGAUUUUAUACUAUUUAUUUCUUGGUUUUUAGUGUAAUACAUAAAUUGCCUCUUAAAGUUUGUUUAUUACAUUAGGACCCUAUUAUUUUUCAAUAAAACUAAUUAUUAUACCUUUCAUGUAAAUUCAAGACAAUUAGAUGACUAAAUUGAUAAAACAAGUUUUGGUCUUUGUUUUCAAUUCAUACCAUUACUUUAAUUUUUUUUUUGAUACCAAAAUAUUAAUUUCUGUUACGUGGACGAUGAGUGGAAUUUUGAUAUGGAGCUCCUCCCUCCACGUCAUUAAAUUUGAUUAGAUUCCCAAUGGGUUUCAUUGCUUGUAACAUAAAUUAAAAUUUUAGUACUAGAAAGAAAAAAUUAAAGUAUUGGUAUUAAUUAGAAACCCAGACUAAAAUUUUGGCACCAACCAAGCUAUUACCCCACCAAAAAUCAUUAACUAAUAUUUUUUUACCCAAACUUUUAGUGUAAUCUAAUUCUAACAAAAUUUAAAUAUUUUAAAAGUAUUUACAUUUAGCAAAAUAUUAUAAAUUCAUAUAAUUUAACUUUAAAUUAAUAAAAUAAAAUAAAUAUUAUUCUUAUUAUUAAUUUUGUUGCAAUAGAAUUGUAAUUUUGUAGGAAAUUUAAGGAUCAAAUUAUAUAUUUUUUUAGAAAUUUAAGGAUCAAUUUUUUUUUUCAAUUUAGAUUUUUAAUUAUAUCAACUUUCAAAAUGCAAGGGGGAGAUUUUAGAACAAUAAAUAAAAUAUACAGGGCAAUUUAUAUAUUAUACAAAAAAAAAGGAGCAAAUAGUAUAAAACCAAUUGUAAUUAACCAUUGUUUAAAGAAAUUUCUAAUUAAAGAUUUUAUAGUAUAAAAUUAUAAAAUAAAAAGAUGAAGAAAUAUAAUUUUUAAACAUUAAAGGGUAAUUAGUAUAAAAUGAAAAAAUAUAUAAGAUAGAUAUUAAUUAUCCUUUUAAUUAUGUAUAAAAUAAUAUUUUAUGCCGCUAGAUAAGUUGAGUAUAUACUGAUUUGAGGGGCUUGUAUGAUCAAUAUCUUAGAUAUUGGGUGUUGAUUAAAUAAAAGAAAAGAAAAGUGAUAAAAAACUGUCUAUGAGAAAACAUUCAGUAUGCAAAUGCCUUUGAGAUAUAUUAUUGGAUGGUCGCUUUUUUAGAAGCAUUGUCUACGCACGUAUGAUAGAGUUUCAUGCUUAGAGUUGCUAGGAAAGAGAUCUUCACCUAUAUUAUGGCUAUGAUCAUUAGGGU